UACGAAGGGGGCUAGCGUUGCUCGGAAUCACUGGGCGUAAAGGGUGCGUAGGCGGGUCUUUAAGUCAGGGGUGAAAUCCUGGAGCUCAACUCCAGAACUGCCUUUGAUACUGAAAGACUUGAGUCCGGGAGAGGUGAGUGGAACUGCGAGUGUAGAGGUGAAAUUCGUAGAUAUUCGCAAGAACACCAGUGGCGAAGGCGGCUCACUGGCCCGGUACUGACGCUGAGGUGCGAAAGCGUGGGGAGCAAACAGG
rnacentral:rRNA from 1 species